GAUGAACGCUAGCGGCAGGCUUAAUACAUGCAAGUCGAGGGGCAGCACGGUUAGCAAUAACUGGUGGCGACCGGCGCACGGGUGCGUAACACGUAUACAAUCUACCUUAAACAGGGGGAUGGCCUUUCGAAAGAGAGAUUAAUACCCCGUAAUAAAUUGAACGGCAUCGUUUGAUUUUGAAAGCUCCGGCGGUUUGAGAUGAGUAUGCGUCUGAUUAGCUAGUUGGUGAGGUAACGGCUCACCAAGGCGACGAUCAGUAGGGGAUCUGAGAGGACUAACCCCCACACUGGUACUGAGACACGGACCAGACUCCUACGGGAGGCAGCAGUAAGGAAUAUUGGUCAAUGGAGGCAACUCUGAACCAGCCAUGCCGCGUGCAGGAUGACGGCCCUAUGGGUUGUAAACUGCUUUAUACAAGAGAAAACCCUGGUACGUGUACCAGGUUGAUAGUAUUGUAAGAAUAAGCAUCGGCUAACUUCGUGCCAGCAGCCGCGGUAAU
rnacentral:rRNA from 1 species